UUCUGCAAAAUUUUUACAGUAUUCUCUAAUUUAUACCCGGAAUUUCACAGGCUGUGUUCGCACGUAGCAAUUCGAAUAAUUAGUGAGUCAAGCUCACGACUCUAAACCGAAAAAGUCGGGAAAUACGUUCAGAAGAAUUACAUUAAACUAUGAACCCUCAACCUGCGGAGGUGGGUGGGAAAUUGGAACCAAGGAAGAUCAUUUUCGGUUUUUCCUAUAAAAACUUGAAAAAAUGGAUUUUUCAUUUCCCCAUUUAUUUAAAUUUAAGCAGAUCCUGAUUUUGAGAGCGCUGACCAUAGGAACAGGAACUUGAACGUCAGGUGUUGCUUUUCUUGACUUUAUAGAAAUAUAUUUUGAUGAGUUGAUGAAGAGGGAAAUAGGGCCGAGCAAUAUCUCUCUGUGUAAUGUAAGUAUACAAUGAUGUGAUGAUGUAUAUUAUAUCCGACGCUCUCUCGUUGGGUGGGAAGAAAAUUAGCCUGAAGUUGUUCUCACGCUGUCGCGUUUUCUUUUGGACUCCCUCUCUUUUUCGCGUGCCUCCUCUGAGAUUUUAACUUUUAUUUUGGUGGAGAAGAACUUUGAAGCUUCGUGGGCGUGGGGAAGGACUAACUGGAAUUCAAGCUUUCACUCCGUAACCCCUAAGUUCAAUUGAUUGCGAUUUGGGCAUGAGAAAACCACUGAACAAUUAGGAGAUAUGCAAGGAAAUAGGUAGGAAUUUGGGAUUUAAGCAUGUGGGGUUUUUGUCUUUGCUCAUUUUGGUAAGCUGGGUAUAAUGCAUUUGUUCUUGCAAGUUUCUGUAAAUUUGGAUGAACUCGCUUGUGCUCAGAAAAGUAUUUGGUGAUCUGAGUUUUCUGUUUUCACUGGAAACGCUCUCGUGAUCUGGGUUUUGCAGUUUUGCUUUUCAGUUUCAAAGUCUCUCAGUGACAUAGAGUGAUUAUAGAUAUGGGGUUUUGAUUGGCCAAGUUAUUGCCGAGUGAGAGAUCUAUUAUCUAGUGCGGAGAUUUGGAUUUUGGAAAAGAGAAGGGAUUGAUCACUGGCUUCAGUUCAGAGGAGACUGCUUCCAAUGUUUGAGUUUUUUCUGUAGAGACAUUGUGGUUUAUGAAGUCCUCGGGAAAGCUUUGAGGUUUGGGUAUAAUUGAUUGUACAAUUUCAUCUGAGUGGGAAUUCUAGGUUUGGAUCUUUUGAUCAUAGAGCGAAAUUUCGGUAGAGAUGGCGUCACCUGUUUCAAAUUCUCCUCCUGCUGCAGUUCCGCCGGCUUCGGCUACUAGCCCACCACCUUCCCCGUCAACGGCUGCGGAAUCUCCCUCAGUGACUCGGCCCAAUGCCACUCCGGGCUCACCGGUUCCCACAACUCCACCAGUUCAAUCCCCUCCCCCGCCUGCUACUACCGUUCCUCCUCCCGCUACACCAUCGCCCCCACCGCCAACUCCUACUGCUCCCCCUCCAGCACCGCCACCUUCUCCUCCUGCAGUCUCCCCACCACCGGCUGUGCCUUCAUCACCCUCCCCAGUAGUAUCCCCUCCACCUCCCGUUGUGGUUCCCUCUCCACCUCCUCCUGCAGGUUCUCCUCCUCCCCCAGUUUCCCCUUUGCCACCUGCAGCAUCACCGCCUCCACCUCAAGCAGUCUCACCUUCUCCGCCGCCAGCAGUUGUCUCUCCUCCUCCUCCUCCUCCUCCUUCGGCCACUGUUCCGCCCCCAUCGCCCUCCAAUUCUCCCCCAACACCGUCGACAGAACCUCCUGCAGGUUCACCUCCACCUCCCCCUCCACCUCGAAGGCAUGCACCCCCUCCUCCUGGUUCUCAACCGGCACCUCCACCAUCCCCAAAGUCUCCUCCAGCCCCAUCGUCACCAUCACCCAGUGAGCCACCAGUUGCCACUCCACCACCUCCCUCGCCCCCUUCUUCUUCUUCUUUUUCUCCUCCUCCUCCUCCUCCUCCUCCUCCUAGUAAUUCAUCUACUCCUCAAAAUCCUUCACUUCCCUCACAAUCUUCUCCAACUGAUCCUACAAAUGCAUCACACUCCAUCUCACCUCGUGCUGUAGUGGCAAUUAGUGUUGUAGCAGGCUUUAUAGUUCUUGCUCUGAUUGGAAUAGCCGUCUGGUGUGUAAAGAAGCAAAAGAAGAAAAGUGUUGGAUAUAAUGGUGGCUAUAUCAUGCCUUCGCCAGCAGCCUCUUCCCCGAAGUCGGAUUCAUACAUUUUAAAGGCCCAUUCUUCAGCUCCACUUGUAGGAAGUGGCUCUAGCAGUGGUUUUAUGUAUUCACCAACGGAGCCAGGUGGUUUGAGCAAUUCAAAGUCAUGGUUCACAUAUUCAGAACUAGUAGAGGCCACAAAUGGUUUUUCCCCACAUAAUCUUUUGGGCGAAGGUGGAUUUGGUUGUGUGUACAAAGGUUACCUGCCAGAUGGAAGAGAGGUGGCUGUGAAACAGCUCAAGGAUGGUGGUGGACAAGGAGAGCGUGAAUUCAGAGCUGAAGUUGAAAUUAUUAGCCGUGUACACCAUCGCCAUUUGGUUUCACUGGUUGGCUACUGCAUAUCAGAGAGUCAGAGAUUGCUGGUUUAUGAUUAUGUCCCGAACAACACUCUUCAUUACCAUCUGCAUGGGGAAGGGAGGCCAGUUAUGGAAUGGGCGACCAGAAUUAAGGUUUCUGCUGGUGCAGCUCGCGGAAUUGCUUACCUGCAUGAAGACUGUCACCCACGCAUUAUUCACAGGGAUAUUAAGUCAUCAAACAUUCUUUUAGAUAAUAACUUUGAAGCUCAAGUUUCAGAUUUUGGGCUUGCAAAGUUAGCUCUGGACACAUACACCCAUGUCACUACACGUGUGAUGGGAACCUUUGGAUACAUGGCACCAGAGUAUGCAUCAAGUGGCAAAUUGACUGAGAAGUCAGAUGUGUACUCUUUUGGAGUUGUGCUUCUUGAGCUAAUUACUGGUCGCAAACCUGUGGAUGCGUCUCAGCCCUUGGGAGAUGAGAGUCUAGUUGAAUGGGCUCGACCUUUGCUUACACAUGCACUUGAUAAUGAAGAAUUUGAAGAGUUGGUAGAUCCAAGGCUUGAAAAGAACUAUGUGGAAAGUGAAAUGUUCAGGAUGAUUGAAGCAGCUGCAGCAUGUGUGCGUCAUUCAGCAGCAAAGAGACCUCGAAUGAGCCAGGUGGUGAGAACUCUUGACAGUAUAGGGGACCCAUCAGAUCUUAGUAAUGGAAUGAAACCAGGCCAAAGUGAAAUCUUUGACUCUAGAGAACAGUCCAGAGAAUUAAGAAUGUUUCGGAGGAUGGCUUUUGGUAGUCAAGAUUACAGUUCAGAUUUUUUCAGCCAAAAUAGCUGGAGGACUUGAGAUUGUUGAUUCUGUACAGUGAUAGGUGUUUCUGAAUUUCCAAGAAGUUAGAAGGCAAUUCUUUAUUGUGGUAAACUUCAUGUAAUGUGCAAAUUACUCGGCCAAAUUUUGAUGCUGUCUCGUUGUAAUCUCAGACUCGGCCAAAAACAGCAUGAAGACCAAGCCUCCUGAGUGAGGUCAUUCAACCAGGUUCCUCCAAAUUACAAGCCUCUUGUAAUGUGCAAAUUCAAGCCUCCUGCUUAUGCUGGAAGUUGCUUCAAUCUGUGGGUAUUUCGUUGUUUUCCUUUUUUUAACUCUCUGAGACCAAGUAAAACUGUUCACAGAGAAUAGGGCGUUCUUUUGCUUGAAAGUUGGAAUCGGAAGAAAUAUAAAAAAUUCAAGGAAGAAAAUCUUUAAGGUUA